CAUGAUUAACAACAUCAUUAACAUCACAUAUAUAAACUAAAUCCUAACUGUUUUCUGAUUAACCAUAACAGAAUUGUGAAUUCUAGAUCUAGAUCUCAAACUUUUUUCAUUUUUCUCUCAACUUGCUUCAUCAAUUUUCUUCAUUCUUUUUGCCUUGCCUUCGAUCAAUUCAUCAUCUACAUGCAUUUUGGAAGCUAAUUGAAGCAAGAUUUCAUC
rnacentral:lncRNA from 1 species